UGGGGAAUAUUGGACAAUGGGGGCAACCCUGAUCCAGCAAUGCCGCGUGAGUGAUGAAGGCCUUCGGGUUGUAAAGCUCUUUUGGCGGGGACGAUGAUGACGGUACCCGCAGAAUAAGCCCCGGCUAACUUCGUGCCAGCAGCCGCGGUAAUACGAAGGGGGCUAGCGUUGUUCGGAAUUACUGGGCGUAAAGGGCGCGUAGGCGGUCCUGAUCGUCGGAUGUGAAAGGCCUGGGCUCAACCUGGGAACUGCAUCCGAUACGGCGGGACUGGAGUGUGGGAGAGGAUGGUGGAAUUCCCAGUGUAGAGGUGAAAUUCGUAGAUAUUGGGAAGAACACCGGUGGCGAAGGCGGCCAUCUGGACCACAACUGACGCUGAGGCGCGAAAGCGUGGGGAGCAAACAG
rnacentral:rRNA from 1 species